CACGGGCUGUGUGAUUGUGGGCACGAGAUUUCAUUUCCUGAUUCAUAAAGGUGGGGACCGAUCAAAGCUACUCCUUGGACCUUUGUGAAGAUUAAAUGAGUUCAACACAGAGCAUUCUUGACCCAUGGGCCAUCCCCAGAUGAGGCUGCAGCAUUGCCCCGUGUGCUCUCAGCUGGUGCCAGUGUUGUCUGGAACUGUCUGGACCUACCUGGAAACUGAGUGUGAGUGUUUGAUUCCUCAGUCCCCUGGUGGCUGGGAACUGCCCUGGAAGGCACUGGUGCUUGUGGAGGGAGAAAUGGCAAUGUCUGGGUGUGGGUGCUGUGGGCCUGGGUGCUGUGGACGUGGGUGCUGUGCACGUGGGUGCUGUGGGCCUGGGUGCCGUGGGCCUGGGUGCCGUGGACGUGGGUGCAUGGCACAGAUGGGCGGCCACCUGAACGAGUGGGAGGAGUGCAGUCCCAGGCCCUCCCAGAGACUGUGCCAUAGUCUCCACCCCAAGUGAUGGUGGAGGGAUGCUGGGAACAGUAAGCUUUAAUGCUUGGUGAAUCUUGCAUUGCCUCAUUCAUGACCGGUAGGUCACGUGGUCAUCUGACACUUCCAUCUCUUCCGAGGCCCAGUGGAAAGCCAGGAGCUGGGUCUCCAAAGGAAAAUGGUUACUUUCAGAAGAGGGCAUGAUUUUUCUCCAAAACGCUGGGUGGCUGAGCUGGGAUUCUUCUGAAGGGUUUGUCGGAAGCUCCACACGGCAUCCCUGUCUGACACGGACCUGUUGUCACCGUCUGAUUUGCUGAGACACGCGUGCAGAGGUGCCUGAUGGCAGCCUGGACCUGCUACAGAACCUUCUGCUGCUGUAGGCCCCUUCAAAACUGACAGCCUCGGAGGCUUCCAUAUGGUCGAAGCAGCCUGCUUCAAUAUGGUGCAUGAGCUCUCUGGGGUCUAAAAAGGCCUACCAAGCAGCAUUGUGCCACCUUCUUAGUGCAAAGAACAGGAAGUUGGGUCAAGUAUCUUCUUCUUCUUCUUCUUAUUAUUAUUAUUAUUAUUAAUCAUUAUUGUUGAGACAAGGUCUCACUCUGUUGCCCAGGCUGGAGAGUGGUGGUGCCAUCACAGCUCACUGCAGCCUUGAACUCCUGGGCUCAAGCGAUCCUCCUGCCGUGGCCUUCCAGAGUGCUGCGAUGACAGGUGUGAGCCACCAUGCCUGGCUGGGGGCACAUAUCUUCAUAUACCCCAGACCACAGGAUGUCUAGAAAUUUCACUGAAAUGACAGAAUCCUUCAUUUUGUGAGGUGUGUCUCCUACUAUGGAGGCACGAAAGGGCCUUACUAAGACAAUUAGAGUAUUUACUACUUCCUGCCACCAGGUCUGAUCUCCAUUACACCAUCGGCAUAGUGAACUGGCACUUUGUCCCGUGGGAUGGCCAGGACUGAGAUGGGCAAGGGCCCUGAGGUCUAUAUUUUGACAAAGGGAUGGACGAUGGGCACAGUUCUGAGAAGCACGAGCCGGGGUGUAUUGCUGUCCCUGCCAGGCGAAAGUAGCCUUCCCCUGUGGCUCAGCUGUUGUGUGUGGAAGGAAACGUUGGUCAGAUGAGUUUCCUCAUGGAAGCCAUGGCUGGGUGUUCCAUCACACGAGGUACAUCUGGAGGGGCAGCUGCAAUUGGAGUCCCCACCCGAUUGUGUUUGCAGCCAUCCACGGUCACUCUCCAAAAUCCACCUCUGUCCUUCACAGGCCAAAGAGGUGAAGCAAAACGAUGUGAUAGGAAGCUGAGAUAUCGGCCGGGCACAGUGGCUUACACCUGUAAUCCCAGCACUUUGGGAGGCUGAGGCGGGUGGAUCACCUGAGGUUGGGAGUUUGAGACCAGCCUGGCCAACAUGGUGAAACCCUGUCUCUACUAAAAAUACAAAAUUAGCCGGGCAUGGUGGCGCACGCCUGCAGUCACAGCUACUCGGGAGGCUGGGACAGGAGAAUUGUUUGAACCUGGGGGACAGAGGCUGCGAUGAGCCAAGAUCACACCACUGCACUCCAGCCUGGGCAACAGAGCAAGACUCUGUCUCAAACAAACAAACAAACAAACAAAAAAAGAGGAAUCCAGGAUACCGUUGCCAGUAUGCACUGUAAAUCUUUCUCCUAGAUUUCUCUGAAGAAGUCUGCAGCCCUUUGGCAGCGUGGCUGCAGAUGGAAGGAAGGAAACAGUUCGCCCUGGAGAAUGGCUAGGCAGCACCUCUGAGCCGAGCAUCCCACCCGCUCUGACUGGCCCACAAUCGUGGGGCCAGUGGUAUCUCAGAGCCCUUCUGUAAGGAGGGUUUUGUCACUUACGGUGAUUGCCAUGGUCUGAAUGCUUGUGUCCCCCUCGAAAGAGCCUUCCAAGAUGCGGUGCCCUCCAUCAGCAUAUUGCCACGCCUUUCUCUCCCAGGAUGCAUUGCUGGGAUGGAUGAACAGGGCCAUGCGAUAAAUCCUCUAACGUUGCCACGUCUGUGCUUUUGCCUUCUUUCCUCUCCGUUGUAUGGAGGAAGUUCUGACAGCUCACUUCAUUUCACAUGGUGUGCAAGCUUCUGUCAAACAACGGAACAAACUAUGAGAACCACUCCCAGCCACUGCUUCUGCACACUUCUCUGCUAAGUGAGUCUCUGCUGUGUGAGUCUCAUUGGUAAAACUACCCUGAUCUAACAUUCUGUUACCUCCUUUGUGGUCCAACACUCCGAGAGUCCACGGCCUCAGACGCCCCUGGGUUUCUGCUGAUGUAAAUUGGCAAAAACUUGCAUUCAGUGUGUAUGUGGCUCCUCUUGGGUCUCACUGUGUGUUUAUCCCUCUGCACCCAACUCUAGUCAUGGCUCUGGGAAUAAUGAGGGUCAGUGGAGGUGGAUCUCAAGGGAGAUCUGUCAUCUUGCAAGGCUGUUUCCUCAAGUGAAGCCAUCACAGAUCUUUGGGCACAGUUUUACUCACCUCAGACUCUAAGGAAGGGUCACUUCUGCUUACAGGAAGACUCAGGAAGGUCUAAUGUUCAGGGGACUCAGAGUCAGAGAAAUCCACCCUCUCCAGUUCUCGAGGUCUCGUUCUUUCCAAAUAAAUGCCUUAACUUUGACUUAAGAGAUUUAGUAAGACAUUUAAUUAUUCUUUAGUUGUAAUUCAUUAGCCUGCAAGAUCAAAUUUGUACUCUGCAUUUAAAAAAAAAGUUGACUCUACAGCUACAAGAACUAAAAUGGUUUUUUUAGGACAGCUAUAGAAGGGCUCUGGUUCUCUGUCUAUACCUUCAACUGAGCACUUAAGGCCACAGCUUGUCAUUUUCUUUGUCAGUUCCCCAGUGCAAUAAGCAGCAGCCACCCCAUGCCACAUCCUUGUAUGCAUGGUUUCCAUCCACAUCCUAAUGUCCUAUUGCAAGAGCCCCCUGGUGUGUGAAACCCAGGCUUGUGAUGGGCACUACGUUGCAGAGACCUCAAGGUAAUGAUUUUACCAGUGACAAUGUUCAUAGAUUAUCUGCAUCCUACUUCCCACUCCUCACGUGGUCCUCACUGACAUCAGACAAAACCUGGUCUGUCCAAUUACUAACUCCAGAUUCCCAUCUUCAAGGUUCUGCCUUCCUGGAAACACUGCUGGUACAGCAAUGGUUGGUCGGGAACACUAAAGUCACUCUAGGUAUUUUGGGUAGAAGGAGAUUCAUUGCAGGGAACUCUAGGCUUACAGAAAUGUUGAGAACUUUGGGGACUGAAGGUUAUUUCAGGAGAUCUGGAAGUGCAGGGAUAGAAGGGUAGCAUCCAUUGCCCCCUGAUAACUGUACCACUGACAUGGCUAGAAACCACCCCAGUGAUCCCAGCUGCUUGUAGCACCUCAGGGUGAUUCUCAAACUGACUCCAGAAGCCAAGGUACACUGCUGCCAAUGACUGCAGGGGCCUCUGCAAAACGGACGUUGAUGAAUGAAACAAAGUGUGAUCUACCCAUAGCAGGGAAUGUUAUUCAGCCUUAAAAAGGAAGGAAAUCCUGCAGCUCACGCCUGUCAUCCCAGCUCUUUGGGAGGCUGAGGCAGGAGAAUGGCUUGAGGCCAGGAGUUUGAGACCAGCCUGGGCAACAUAAUGAGACCCCCGUCUCUACAAAAAACAAUUUAAAAUUUUGCUGUAGUCCCCGCUACCCAGGAGACUGAAGCAGGAGGAUAGCUUGAGCCCAGGAAGUUGAGGCUGCAGUGAGCUAUGAUCUCUCCUGUCUCUAAAAAAGAAAAAAAAUAAAAGGAAAUAAAUUAAUUCUCACACAGGCUACAAAAUGGAUGAACCUUGAGGACAUUAUGCUGAAUCAAAGAAGCCAUUCAGCAAAGGACAAAUCCUAUAAGCUUCCCCGUAUACGAGGAACCCAGAGCAGUGAAAUCCCCAGUGACAGGAAGUGGAUGGUGGGCACCAGGGGCUGGCACAGGGGAUGGGAGUCAGUCUUCCAUGGGGACAGGGACAGCUUCAGUUUGGGAAGCUGAAGAAGUUCUGGAGAUGAUGAUGGUGGUGACAAGUGAACACCAACGUGAAUGUAUCAGGGACAGCUUCAGUUUGGGAACUUGAAGAAGUUCUGGAGAUGACGGUGGUGACAGGUGCACACCAACGUGGAUGUAUCAGGGACAGCUUCGGUUUGGGAAGCUGAAGAAGUUCUGGAGAUGAUGAUGGUGGUGACAGGUGCACACCAACAUGAAUGUAUCAGGGACAGCUUCAGUUUGGGAAGUUGAAGUUCUGGAGAUAAUGAUGGUGGUGACAGGUGCGCAGCAAUGUGAAUGUAUCUAAUGGCACUAAACUGUGCACUUUAAAACUGAGUGCAUUUACAAUGGUAAAUUUUAUGUUAUGCGCAUUCCACUGUAGUGAAAAAGAGUUAACUUCACCUGAAAUGAAUUCGUGUGGUAACCAUUGGUUCUGUGUUAAUAGCAUGGACUUCCAUUGUAUCUGCAUAAUGCCGAGACCAGCUCAGUCUGGGAGACCCUAACCCAGUGGCGCUAGAGGAAUUAAAGACACACACACAGAAAUAUAGAGGUGUGAAGUGGGAAAUCAGGGGUCUCACAGCCUUCAGAGCUGAGAGCCCCGAACAGAGAUUUACCCAUGUAUUUAUUAACAGCAAACCAGUCAUUAGCAUUGUUUCUAUAGAUACUAAAUUAACUAAAAGUAUCCCUUAUGGGAAACGAAGGGAUGGGCCAAAUUAAAAGAAUAGGUUGGGCUAGUUAACUGCAGCAGGAACACUCCCUUAAGGCACAGAUCGCUCAUGCUAUUGUUUGUGGCUUAAGAAUGCCUUUAAGCGGUUUUCCACCCUGGAUGGGCCAGGUGUUCCUUGCCCCCAUUCCCAUAAACCCACAACCUUCCAGCCUGGGCGUUAGGGCCAUUAUGAACAUGUCAUAGUGCU